rnacentral:rRNA from 1 species
CCCUUAGAGUUUGAUCCUGGCUCAGAUUGAACGCUGGCGGCAGGCCUAACACAUGCAAGUCGAACGGUAACAGGAAGCAGCUUGCUGCUUCGCUGACGAGUGGCGGACGGGUGAGUAAUGUCUGGGAAACUGCCUGAUGGAGGGGGAUAACUACUGGAAACGGUAGCUAAUACCGCAUAAUGUCGCAAGACCAAAGAGGGGGACCUUCGGGCCUCUUGCCAUCGGAUGUGCCCAGAUGGGAUUAGCUAGUAGGUGGGGUAACGGCUCACCUAGGCGACGAUCCCUAGCUGGUCUGAGAGGAUGACCAGCCACACUGGAACUGAGACACGGUCCAGACUCCUACGGGAGGCAGCAGUGGGGAAUAUUGCACAAUGGGCGCAAGCCUGAUGCAGCCAUGCCGCGUGUAUGAAGAAGGCCUUCGGGUUGUAAAGUACUUUCAGCGGGGAGGAAGGCGGUGAGGUUAAUAACCUCAUCGAUUGACGUACCCGCAGAAGAAGCCCGGCAACUCUG